rnacentral:rRNA from 1 species
UACAGAGGUCCCAAGCGUUGUUCGGAUUCACUGGGCGUAAAGGGUGCGUAGGCGGUCGGGUAAGUCUGUCGUGAAAUCUCCGAGCCCAACUCGGAAACUGCGUCGGAUACUAUUCGGCUAGAGGAAUGGAGGGGAGACUGGAAUACUUGGUGUAGCAGUGAAAUGCGUAGAUAUCAAGUGGAACACCAGUGGCGAAGGCGAGUCUCUGGACAUUUCCUGACGCUGAGGCACGAAAGCCAGGGGAGCAAACGGG